AAAACAUUACCUUCCCGGACCCGAAGCUGGUGACUGCUUCUCCUAGAAUCAUGAAGCGAGAGUUCAAGCGAAGAAAUGUGUCCCAUGGAUGGCUCUAUAAAUUGGAUCCAAAUGAGCCAACUCUGCUGUUUACGAAACCUCUGGAUCCAGCCAAAUUGUCAGCUGCAGGCAUUAUACCUCCAGGUUCUCCAACACCAAAUGGCCUACCUGCUCACACAUUUAGCUUUCGUGGAAGGAUGGGGCGAGGUGGUCGUAUCGUGUUUGAUAGAUGGAAUCCACUCAGCCAUACACCCAUGGAUUGCGGUGAUACUUUAUAUGUUCCACCGAAGGCUCGACAUUCUGCACAUCAAUGACAUGAUCAGCACUUCAUGAGCUUGUUUCUCAAUCCCCUUGAAAGUUGUAUAUGUUGUAUGAUAUUUGCAUGGAUGAUGCUAAAGAUGGAAGGGGAAAUUUUGAACCAGUGAUAAUUGAAGAACCAAGUCCUGGAGAUGCACGUACCGAU
rnacentral:misc_RNA from 1 species